CUGUCGUUACCAUCUAUAAUUGAAUUCACAUUCAUGCCUCUACCAUUAUCCCUGCAAAAUCUCGCCUCUGCCUCCCGUUAACGCUACUCUCCGCCCAUCGCUGCACCUCAUUGUCGUCGCUACAAGCAACGAGAAGCAUAAAUGGCAUUAACUGUAGCGGUGCCAUUUUGGAGGGCGAUAGAUUUGUGAGUCCCAGGCUUCUCUUCCAAUAGCACCGGAGAAUUGAAUCUUCCUCUUAUGCACAAGGUUACAUUCUAAUUAUUUUACCAGUGUUGGUCCACUGGGUUUUUAUGGUUAGAGAGGAACAAUGCUAAGCAUAAUGGGAUUAAGAUGAAUGCCUAUAGGGUUAUUUAAAGAAUUGAAUUUUUGGUUUCAAAUUGGACGGGGGCUAAGUUGUUAAUGAAUUAAACAACUAUGUAAGGAAAUGAAAGUUGAACGCGGGUAGUCUAAUGGAUGAAUCCAAUUGCAGAAGGGAUGAAAUAGAACUCAGAUGGGUGUUUAAAAAGUGAUAAACAGGAACUUUAUGUGUAUGUUUUAUGGAGUUUCCAUGACUUCUAUUCUGAUGCACAAUAGCAGUACAAUGAGUUUCUUUUAAAAUACCCUGUAAUUGUUUCUAAAGUUCCCGCAACAGUGAACGAAAAAUUUGAUUUGGCUUGCUAAUUAUAUGGACCUUUUUUUUUAGAAGCUUUUCUGAUUUUUUUAAUUUGUGUCUUUGGGGUUUUGUUAUGAAGAAAGCUUGAUGGAAAAAUAAAAAAAGAAAGAAAAUCUGAAAGUCUUCUCCAUAAGCAUAUUUGACUGAAGAAGGGGUUUAUAAUAUUUCCUCGUGUCGAUUAAUUACCAUGCAUUAAACAUACUCGUCUAGUAAUUACUGAUCUAUGAUAAGAAUUGGUUGGACUAAUGCUUAUUUCACAGAUUUGGGUUUUGAUUAUCCUAAUUUAGGAACCAAUAUGGAAGUCUUUGGGAGUUUUGGCGUCAAUUUUAAAGAUUUGAACUUUGGAGAAAUUUUCUCCUUCACGUUGUGUUCAGAAUAGUUUUUCUCUAAUUUCUGAUUCCUUACAUCUCUGUUUCUGCCAUAUUUCCUCCUUUAGCAUCGUUUUGUGGAUUAAUGUUUCAUGUUGCUGUGUGUAGUUUUAUUAAGAGAAGGUGAUUGCACUUCUUUUGUUGUUGAUGACUGCUAGCCCUUGUUGUUGCAUCUAUUUUUAGUUUCAAAAAGAAUUCGCUCAAUUAAUUGGUGUUGAUUCACUUUUUGAACAAGCACUGCUUCACAUUUUUUUGUUGCAUUUUACUAUUCUACCCAAUUUUUCUGCUCAUCUGUGACUUUUUAUGAGUGUAUAAUACCUUCUCUUUUAUUUUUUUUAUUUAUUUUUUGGUCAUGGAUGUUACAAAGAAUAGGGUUGCUGUUGCAGUUAAUGGUUCUAAGGGAAUUUCAAGAACUGUUUGGAAAAUAGGCUUUAACUCAUGUGGUUCUACAAGGGGAUUGUGUUAGGUUGCUCGUUGUCAUUCCAACUCACACUACAAGUAAACCUUUUUUCUGUCUUUCUCUGCUUUAGAUCUCCCAAUUAACAAUGGAGUGAACAGAGCAUAAUAGAGCAUUAUAGCUUGUGUUCUUGUACAAAGUAAAACACAAUUUAUCCCUUUUCAAAUUUAGAUGACUAUUAAUCUUGCUGCUAUUAAACUUUGCCAUAAAUUUGUAGUCACGGAGUGAAUUACUUGGAUGUUUUUCAUCAUCUACCUUGUAAGUAUGAGAUAUUUGAAAUAUUUAUCUUGAAGCUAAUUUUUUUUAUGUGUUUUUUCUCCUUUGAAGAACUUGAACUUGAGUAUCAAAUGCUGUGUUCACAAGUUUAUUUUUAACAUUUGAAGAUUUCUAUAUCGUGGUUUACAGUUCAUGAAAAAAAGGGAACGUAUCUUGACUGGGUUAGUUUCUAAAGUAUGUGACUGAAAUGUGACCUCUGUGCAUAGGUUUGCUUUAGUUUUAGUCCUGUUUUUAUUUGCCAAUUGUUGUGUCUUAGCAUUUCUUUGUUCUGAUGUAGAAUCUGGUUGAUAAAGAAAGACUGGGUGAAAACUUAGCAAGUUUAUCGGUCGAAGAAUAUAAGUUAUUCAGCUUCUCUAGCUGAGUAUGUGUAUCGGCAGUUGAUUCUUUUGCUUCAAUCGUACACUCAAUGGGUUGGAAGCAUAUCUUGAAGUCAAGAAUGUUAUUUGGAUAUUCCGUGAGUUUUUUUGCUAUUUCUUCCAUAUUUCUAGUUUUAUUUUCUAUUUUUCAAGUUUGGUAAACCAUCCUAAGUAGUUUGACCUUGAAAUUACUAGUAUUAUACUUUAUUUGUAUUUGUUUUGAUUUUGGAGGUAACCAAGUUUGUCAAUAAUACUUUGGUCUAU
rnacentral:lncRNA from 1 species